GCCGGGCAUGGUGGCUCAUGCCUGUAAUCCCAGCAUUUUAGGAGGCUGAGGUGGGCGGAUCACCUGAGGUCAGGAGUUCGAGACCAGCCUGACCAACAUGGAGAAACCCCGUCUCUA
rnacentral:SRP_RNA from 1 species